GUCCCUAUAGCUCAACCGGACAGAGCGCGGCCCUCCGGAGGCCGAAAUUCCCGUUCGAGUCGGGAUAGGGACG
rnacentral:tRNA from 1 species